UUGAACGCUGGCGGCAUGCCUUACACAUGCAAGUCGAACGGCAGCACGGGAGCAAUCCUGGUGGCGAGUGGCGAACGGGUGAGUAAUAUAUCGGAACGUGCCCAGUCGUGGGGGAUAACGUAGCGAAAGCUACGCUAAUACCGCAUACGAUCUAUGGAUGAAAGCGGGGGGAUCGCAAGACCUCGCGCGAUUGGAGCGGCCGAUAUCAGAUUAGGUAGUUGGUGAGGUAAAGGCUCACCAAGCCGACGAUCUGUAGCUGGUCUGAGAGGACGACCAGCCACACUGGGACUGAGACACGGCCCAGACUCCUACGGGAGGCAGCAGUGGGGAAUUUUGGACAAUGGGCGCAAGCCUGAUCCAGCAAUGCCGCGUGCAGGAUGAAGGCCUUCGGGUUGUAAACUGCUUUUGUACGGAACGAAACGGUGAGCUCUAAUACAGCUUGCUAAUGACGGUACCGUAAGAAUAAGCACCGGCUAACUACGUG
rnacentral:rRNA from 1 species